rnacentral:rRNA from 1 species
ACGAACGCUGGCGGCACGCUUAACACAUGCAAGUCGAACGAGAGAAGAGAAGCUUGCUUUUCUGAUCUAGUGGCGGACGGGUGAGUAACACGUGAGCAAUCUGCCUUUCAGAGGGGGAUACCGAUUGGAAACGAUCGUUAAUACCGCAUAAUAUAAUUGAACCGCAUGAUUUGAUUAUCAAAGAUUUAUCGCUGAAAGAUGAGCUCGCGUCUGAUUAGCUAGUUGGUAAGGUAACGGCUUACCAAGGCGACGAUCAGUAGCCGGACUGAGAGGUUGAUCGGCCACAUUGGGACUGAGACACGGCCCAGACUCCUACGGGAGGCAGCAGUGGGGAAUAUUGCACAAUGGAGGAAACUCUGAUGCAGCGAUGCCGCGUGAGGGAAGAAGGUUUUAGGAUUGUAAACCUCUGUCUUCAGGGACGAAAAAAGACGGUACCUGAGGAGGAAGCUCCGGCUAACUACGUGCCAGCAGCCGCGGUAAUACGUAGGGAGCGAGCGUUGUCCGGAAUUACUGGGUGUAAAGGGAGCGUAGGCGGGAUCGCAAGUCAGAUGUGAAAACUAUGGGCUUAACCCAUAAACUGCAUUUGAAACUGUGGUUCUUGAGUGAAGUAGAGGUAAGCGGAAUUCCUAGAGUAGCGGUGAAAUGCGUAGAAAUUAGGAGGAACAUCAGUGGCGCAGGCGGCUUACUGGGCUUUAACUGACGCUGAGGCUCGAAAGCGUGGGGAGCAAACAGGAUUAGAUACCCUGGUAGUCCACGCCGUAAACGAUGAUUACUAGGUGUGGGGGGACUGACCCCUUCCGUGCCGCAGCAAACGCAAUAAGUAAUCCACCUGGGGAGUACGACCGCAAGGUUGAAACUCAAAGGAAUUGACGGGGGCCCGCACAAGCAGUGGAGUAUGUGGUUUAAUUCGAAGCAACGCGAAGAACCUUACCAGGUCUUGACAUCGUAUGCAUAGCUCAGAGAUGAGUGAAAUCUCUUCGGAGACAUAUAGACAGGUGGUGCAUGGUUGUCGUCAGCUCGUGUCGUGAGAUGUUGGGUUAAGUCCCGCAACGAGCGCAACCCUUACUGUUAGUUGCUACGCAAGAGCACUCUAGCAGGACUGCCGUUGACAAAACGGAGGAAGGUGGGGAUGACGUCAAAUCAUCAUGCCCCUUAUGACCUGGGCCUCACACGUACUACAAUGGCUGUUAACAGAGGGAUGCAAAGCCGCGAGGUGGAGCGAACCCCUAAAAGCAGUCUUAGUUCGGAUUGUAGGCUGCAACCCGCCUACAUGAAGUCGGAAUUGCUAGUAAUCGCAGAUCAGCAUGCUGCGGUGAAUACGUUCCCGGGCCUUGUACACACCGCCCGUCACGCCAUGGGAGUCGGUAACACCCGAAGCCUGUAGUCUAACCGCAAGGAGGACGCAGUCGAAGGUGGGAUUGAUGACUGGGGUG